ACUAUGAUCGCCUAGAUCCUCUACUCGUUUCACGUUCGGACGGCCGAACUAAUGGCGA
rnacentral:ncRNA from 1 species